CUAGGUAUCCAGAGGCGGUUGCAUUGAAGAACAUCGAUACAGAGACGGUGGUAGAAACAUUGGUAGAAAUAUUCAGCAGAGUUGGCAUUCCAAAAGAAGUUCUGUCGGACAUGGGUACGCAAUUUACCUCCAACAUCAUGAAAGAGGAAUAAGUGGACAGAUAACCACAGGUAGACUGCAAGCCCUCAAGGCAUUCACACUAACUCCCCAGAAUCGGCGGCCCACACACGAUUGUAGGCAAACUAGAAUUUUUGUAGAGCAUCAUACGUGCAGAUAAGCUUUGUGGAGUUCAACGAGCAAAAAACAAAAACAUGGUGUUCCAAGUCUUCCUCUGUAUAUUUGUAACAUUGUCUCAACCCUGGAUCGCACGUAGUUCUGGGGACUCCUCGACAAACGAAAUAUUUAGAUGGGUUCCACGUGGAUGGGAUGGAUUACCGCUAUUCUGUCCAAAUUGGUGUCAAGACACUUCUUCCACUGGAACUAAGACAGACCAAUGUUGUGCUUGUCACGCUAAAAGUAUUUUGGAUUACAGUGACAAUUUUCUCUCUUUAAAUGUUUCAAAAGAGGUAUAUUUGGAAGGGAAUAAAUCUCAUGGAAAUAUGGUUCUAGAAUAUUCGUACAAAUAUCUUCAAUGCUUUCUGAGUAACAUACAAACAAACUUAUUACAAAAUCGUCUUUUAAAAGUACCGAUUCUGCCUUGCCUUCAAAAUUUAUGUGAUUUUCUAGGAAUAACAAGAGUAAACUUAUCUCACAAUCUAAUCCUGACAAUUCCAAAUCUUACCUGUCUCGCAAACCUAACGCAUCUGGAUUUGUCGUGGAAUUUAAUAACAGUUUUAACUAAACAUUCUCUUGUUGGAAAUAGGAAUCUAAGGUAUGUCAACCUAUCCAAUAAUUCCAUUAGUUAUAUAGAGCCGGGGAC